UUCUGGGGGCUUUGCAGUUUUAACCUAAAAUCUUUUUUCUAUCCCAGGACCCCAUCUGGGCUCGUAUACAUGACUUGUCACGUCUCCAGAGGCUCCUCUGGGCUGGGACGGUUUCUCAGACUUUUCUUGUUUCUGAAGACCCCGACAGCCUGGAGAAGUAUUAGAUAUAUGGUA